AGUCGAGCGGCAGCACGGGGAGCUUGCUCCCUGGUGGCGAGCGGCGGACGGGUGAGUAAUGCAUAGGAAUCUGCCCGGUAGUGGGGGAUAACGUGGGGAAACCCACGCUAAUACCGCAUACGUCCUACGGGAGAAAGCGGAGGAUCUUCGGACUUCGCGCUAUCGGAUGAGYCUAUGUCGGAUUAGCUAGUUGGUAAGGUAACGGCUUACCAAGGCGACGAUCCGUAGCYGGUCUGAGAGGAUGAUCAGCCACACUGGGACUGAGACACGGCCCAGACUCCUACGGGAGGCAGCAGUGGGGAAUAUUGGACAAUGGGCGAAAGCCUGAUCCAGCCAUGCCGCGUGUGUGAAGAAGGCUUUCGGGUUGUAAAGCACUUUCAGCGAGGAAGAAAGCCUCUGGAUUAAUACCCCAGAGGAAGGACAUCACUCGCAGAAGAAGCRCCGGCUAACUCCGUGCCAGCAGCCGCGRUAAUACGGAGGGUGCGAGCGUUAAUCGGAAUUACUGGGCGUAAAGCGCGCGUAGGUGGCUUGGCACGCCGGUYGUGAAAGCCCCGGGCUCAACCUGGGAACGGCAUCCGGAACGGCCAGGCUAGAGUGCAGGAGAGGAAGGURGAAUUCCCGGUGUAGCGGUGAAAUGCGUAGAGAUCGGGAGGAAUACCAGUGGCGAAGGCGGCCUUCUGGCCUGACACUGACACUGAGGUGCGAAAGCGUGGGUAGCAAACAGGAUUAGAUACCCUGGUAGUCCACGCCGUAAACGAUGUCGACUAGCCGUUGGGACCUUUAAGGACUUAGUGGCGCAGUUAACGCGAUAAGUCGACCGCCUGGGGAGUACGGCCGCAAGGUUAAAACUCAAAUGA
rnacentral:rRNA from 1 species